GUCGGCCUACGGGGGGCAGCAGUAGGGAAUUUUCGUCAAUGGGCGCAAGCCUGAACCAGCCACGUAGCGUGAAGGAUGACUGCCCUACGGGUUGUAAACUUCUUUUAUAAAGGAAUAAAGUGAGGCACGUGUGCCUUUUUGUAUGUAUUUUAUGAAUAAGGAUCGGCUAACUCCGUGCCAGCAGCCGCGGUAAUACGGAGGAUCCGAGCGUUAUCCGGAUUUAUUGGGUUUAAAGGGAGCGUAGAUGGGUUGUUAAGUCAGUUGUGAAAGUUUGCGGCUCAACCGUAAAAUUGCAAUUGAUACUG
rnacentral:rRNA from 1 species